GCCAGCAUAGUGUAGUGGUUUGACUGUGGACUAGGACUCAGGAGACCAGGGUUCGAUUCUUUGCUUGGCC